rnacentral:lncRNA from 1 species
AGCAACUCUCUCGGGUCCCCUUCCAUGCUGUGGAAGCUUUGUUCUUUUGCUCUUCACAAUAAAUCUUGCUGCUGCUCACUCUUUAGGUCCUCACUACCUUUAUGAGCUGUAACACUCACUGUGAAGGUCUGCAGCUUCACUCCUGAAGUCAGUGAGAUCACAAACCCAUUGGGAGGAAUGAAAAACUCUGGAUGUGCUACCUUUAAGAGCUGUAACACUCACUGCAAAGGUCUGCGGCCUCACUCCAGAAGUCAGUGAGACCAUGAACCCACUAGGAGCAAGAAACUCUGGAGACAUCUGAACAUUUGAAGGAAGGAACUCCGGACACACCAUCUUUAAGAACUGUAAUACUCACUGUGAGGGUCUGAGGCUUCAUUCUUGAAGUCAGCAAGACCAAGAACCCACCAGAAGGAACCAAUUCCGGACACAUUUUGGCAACCCAGAUGGGACAAUCACCAAGUGUUAAGGUGGCAGGAGUGGAAUCUUGGAUUUACCACAUCCAAUAUAAAUUUUGGACACCCCCUGAGGAACCUGUGGGACUGUCAGCUCAGGAGUCCCAAGAUCAGCCAGACCAGCCUCGAUACACCUGUGAACUGUUGGAGGACUUGCAUCUCCUAUUUCAGAAGGAAACAUCCCAGACUAAAAAGGCUCCUACCACUGAUCCUGAAGAAAAACUCCUUCCUCCUUAAAAAAGAUAAGUGAAAACCUAUAUAAUCUUUAUCUUUAACACCUCUCCUUGCCCCUUUAAUGGAAUUCUUUUACUAUUUCAUCAUAUUGUUAAGUAGUAUACUAACCAUACCCUUUGCAAUAGGACUAUAUACAGUAAGUAGCUCCUGCUGGGAUGAAAAUCCAAAUCACAUCAACCUUCUUUCUAUAUUCCUUCCUUCUGACAGCGAUUUACUUCUACCUUUAACUCAGACUGGAUAAGAUGAUCUCAUCUUCCAGAGCACCCUCUUUACCUUCCUAUUUACUCUUUGCCUAUCUAUCCCUGCUGCUUCCUUGGAUAUCUCAUACAAUCACCCCUCCCCUUCCACUAGCUCCUAAUUACCUCUACAAGACUCUCAACUUAACCCACUCUCUGUUAAACCAGUCCAAUCCUUCCCUGGCAAAUUGCUGUUGGCUUUGUAUCUCUCUAUCAACUUCUGCUUAUGUUGCCACUCCCAUUCCCGCAAAAAAAUUGGGUUUUUACCAACUUAACCUACCACCCUCAUUAUGAAGGAAAAGACCCUUUCUGACUUCUAAAUAUGCAAUCAUUAGCUGACUUCCCCAUCUCUGAUAGGACCAAGAGUACCCUAACAGGACGUGCAUUCCAACUUUUACGUUCUUACAUUUCCAACCUCACCUAUUACACAAGCAAUGAAAAGCCCAUACAUGGCCCUAUAACUAUGAGUACCAUCCUAAUUUUCCAAGCCCCUUUAUGCAUCCAACACAACCUAUUAUCAGGCCUGCCCCUGGGGCACCUACUACCCCAUCAGUGUAAUAUCACCCUACAACUUCAAGUCCCAACUGAUCAUAGGAACUUCCGAGUCACCCAAACAAUUCCAUUCAGAUGGCUUGUCUGAUUCUCAGGGCCCCCCAAAAUCAUCAACUCCUCCCUGCUUAACAAACAGUCCAGGUUUUGUAAUGGCAAACAUACUCCCUGUAUGACCAUUCACCCCUGGACAUCCUACAGAAGUGCCCCCACCACUAGUGAAUGCCUUCUCAUCCCCUCUUUCAAUCACACUCUCGAAUGGUUCCUAGUAGGUAUGAAAUGGUUUUUUCUCCAAUAGGAAAAUAGAAUAUAGGUAGCCACUCAGUUUGCUCCCAACACCCCUUUCCAGCCAUUCACUGGAGCUACCUUUGCAAAUACUCUAGGAGUAUGGGAAAAUGAAAACAACAAACUCACACAUCUUUUUAACAAAAAUAACCAGUUCUGUCUACCCAGAGAAGUAUAUUCUUCUUAUGUGGAUCAUCGAUGUAUAUCUGCCUCCGCACUAACUGGAAAGGCACCUGCACCUUAGUCUUUCUAAGUCCCAACAUUAACAUUUCCCCCAGGAAAUCAGACCCUAUCAGUACCCCUCAAAGCCCAAGUCUGUCAGUGCAGAGCCAUACAACGAAUACCCCUACUUAUAGGGUUAAGAAUGGCUACUGCUACAGGAACUGGAAUAGCCAGUUUAUCUACUUCAUUAUCCUACUACCACACACACUCAAAGUAUUUCUCAGACAGUUUGCAAGAAAUAACGAAAGCUAUCCUUACUCUACAAUCCCAAAUAGACUCUUUGGCAGCAGCGACUCUCCAAAACCACUGAGGCCUAGACCUCCUCACUGCUGAGAAAGGAGGACUCUGCACCUUCUUAGGGGAAAGUGUUGUUUUUACACUAACCAGUCAGGGAUAGUACGAGAUGCUGCCUGGUGUUUACAGGAAAAGGCUUCUGAAAUCAGACAAUGACUUUCAAACUCUUAUACCAACCUCUAGAGUUGGGCAACAUGGCUUCUUCCCUUUCUAGGUCCUGUGGCAGCCAUUUUGUUAUUACUCGCCUUCAGGCCAUUUUUAACCUCCUUGUCAAAUUUGUUUCCUCUAGGAUCAAGGCCAUCAAGCUACAGAUGGUCUUACAAAUGGAAACCCAAAUGAGCUCAACUAACAACUUCUACUGAGGACCUCUGGACUAACCAGCUGGCCCUUUCACUGGCCUAAAGUGUUCCCCUCUUGAGGACACUACAACUGCAAGGCCCUUUCUUUGCCUCUAUCCAGCAGGAAGUAGCUAGAGUGGUCAUCACCCAAUUCCCAACAGCAUUUGGGGUGUCCUGUUUAGAGGGGAGAUUAAGAGAUGAAGCUGGCUGGGCUUCUGGGUGAGGUGGGGACUUGGAGAACGUUUCUGUCUAGCUAAAGGAUUGUAUACACACCAAUCAGUGCUCUGUGUCUAGCUAAAUGUUUGUAAACGCACCAAUCAGCAUGCUGUAAAAACGCACCAAUCAGCACUCUGUGUCUAGCUAAAGGUUUGUAAACGCACCAAUUAGCACUCUGUAAAAACGGACGAAUCAGCACUUUGUAAAAUGGACCAAUCAGCAGGAUGUGGGCGGGGCCAAAUAAGGGAAUAAAAGCUGGCCACCCAAGCCAGCAGCGGCAACCCACUUGGGUCCCCUUCCAAGCUGUGGAAGGUUUGUUCUCUUGCUCUUUGCAAUAAAUCUUGCUGCUGCUCACUCUUUGGGUCCACACUACCUUUAUGAGCUGUAACACACACUGCAAAGGUCUGCAGCUUCACUCCUGAAGUCAGCAAGACCACGAACCCACCAAGAGGAACAAACAACUCCAGAUGCGCCAACUUUAAGAGCUGUAACACUCACUGCGAAGGUCUGCAGCUCCACUCCUGAAGUCAGUGAGACCAUGCACCCACCAGGAGGAACAAACAACUCUGGAUGUGCCAUCUUUAAGAGCUGUAACACUCACUGCAAAGGUCUGCAGCUUCACUCCUGAAGUCAGCAAGACCAUGAACCCACGAGAAGAAAGAAACUCUGGACAAAUCUGAACAUCUGAAGGAAUAAACUCUGGAUACACCAUCUUUAAGAACUGUAACACUCACUGCAAGGGUCUGUGGCUUCAUUCUUGAAGUCGGUGAGACAAAGAACCCACCAGAAAGAACCAAUUCCAGACACAAUAUGACAAAACAUGACUCUUUACCACUCCCCCAAAAUCACAGUAGCUCACCAGUAAUAGAUCCAAACCAAGAAGAAUUCUCUGAAUUGCCAGAAAAAGAAUGCAAAAGGUUGAUUAUUAAGCUACUCAAGGAGGCACCAGAGAAAGACAAAUAACAACUUAAAGAAAUUAAAAAAAAAGAAGAUACAGGAUAUAGAUGGAAAAAUCUCCAGAGAAAUAGAUAGCAUAAAUAAAAAACAAUCACAACUUCUAAAAAUGAAGGACACACUUAGAGAAAUGCAAAAUACAAUGGAAAGUCUUAGAAAUAGAAUCAAACAAGUAGAAGAAAGAACUUCAGAGCUAGAAGACAAGCUUUUGCAUUAAUGCUAUCUGACAAAGAGAAACAAUUAAAAAAUUUUAAAAAAAUGAGCAAAGCCUCAAAAAAGUUUGGGAUUAUGUUAAACAACAAGACCUAAGAAUAGGGGGAGGAGCCAAGUGGCCGAAUAGGAACAGCUCCAGUCUACAG